CUAACUAGCUCCUUUAGUGAUUCCAGUAUUAAUUUUUUCGAUUUAGACAUCAGUAUUCAGGACUUUAGGAUCAUCACUAAAAAUCACUUCAAACCUAUAGAUGCAAAUAGCUACAUCAAAAAAAGCAGCUGCCACCACAAUCCUUGGCUUAAUAAUGCUCCUAAAAGCCAAUUUAUAAGAAUUAGACGUAACUGCAAAUUAGAUAUAGAUUAUCUAGAACAGGCCAAUUAUAUUAAACAACAGUUUAUGGAAAAUGGAUAUAAUGAAGCACUUCUUAAUCAAGGCAUAGAUGAAGUAGGAAAACUAAAAAGAGAAAAUCUUAUUCAAUAUAAACAAAAGAACAUAUUAGCCGAUACUAAUGAAAUUCCUUUUAUUUGCAAUUUUAACAGGCAAAAUAAACGCAUACAGCACACUAUAAAAAAACACUGGCACUUACUCAAGG